rnacentral:rRNA from 1 species
AACGGGGGGGGGCAAGUGUUCUUCGGAAUUACUGGGUGUAAAGGGUUCGUAGGCGGUGCGGCAAGUUGGGAGUGAAAUCUCUGGGCUCAACCCAGAGACGGCUUCCAAAACUGCUGUGCUUGAGUGUGAGAGAGGCUCGUGGAAUUGCAGGUGUAGCGGUGAAAUGCGUAGAUAUCUGCAGGAACACCCGUGGCGAAAGCGGCGAGCUGGAUCACUACUGACGCUGAAGAACGAAAGCUAGGGGAGCAAACAGG